ensembl:lncRNA MT1JP metallothionein 1J, pseudogene
GCCUUGCGGUCUCUCCAUUUAUCGCUUGAGAUCUCCAGCCUUACCGCGGCUCGAAAUGGACCCCAACUACUCCUGCACCACUGGUAAGAGAAGCCCAACUCUGCGCCCUGGGAUUCCCAUUUCCCAGCCCCAGUACUGAGGGUCUCUGGGUUUGAGGAGGUUGCAUUUUAAGUUCUGAGCGGAAGGGGACUCCUUUACUUCCUUGGGGUGCUUUCUUCCUGAUCGCGCUCCUGAGAGCACUGCCCUCCCUCCUGGGCCUCUAAGUCAGAGUUAAGGAUACUGAGGCUCAAGGCAGUCCUGCUCCACAUCACCCAGUUGGUCAGGGUCCUGCUGGCUGGGCCCCAGUGUUCUCCUCCAGGCUCUGAGCAAUCAGGGUGGAUGCUGAGCUAGAGGCAUUGAGUCUUCAGGGUUCAGGACAGAAGGUUCUGGCUGGCAAUCUCAGAAUACCUGGGUUGUAUGUGCACGUGGGACCUUCCUGAUAAGGUGAAACAGGAGGGUGCUUGCCCUUCCCAGUGUGAGUGGAGAGGACAUGGGGCUUCUGUUCCUCUGUCCUGAGUGGGAAAGGAGCUCUGAGGGCUGGCCCUGCACAGAGGAGGGGGCACUGGAGACUCAUUGACCCACUGCUGUACCUUCUUCAUCUCACUCACUGCCAACUGCGUUUUCCUCUUCCUUGCAGGUGGCUCCUGCACGUGCGCCGGCUCCUGCAAGUGCAAAGAGUGCAAAUGCACCUCCUGCAAGAAGAGCUGCUGCUUCUGCUGCCCCAUGGGCUGAGCCAAGUGUGCCCACGGCUGCAUCUGCAAAGGGACGUCGGAGAAGUGCAGCUGCUGUGCCUGAUGUGGGAACAGCUCUUCUCCCAGAUGUUAAUAGAACAACCUGCACAACCUGGA